AUUGAACGCUGGCGGCAGGCAUAACACAUGCACGUCGAACGAGUGGCGGACGGGUGAGUAAGGUCUGGGAAACUGCCUGAUGGCGGGGGAUAACUACUGGAAACGGUAGAUACUACCGCAUACCAUCAGAUGUGCCCCGCUGGGAUUAGCUGGUUGGUGGGGUAACGGCUCCCCAAGGCGAUGAUCCCUAGCUGGUGUGAGAGGAUGACCAGCCACACUGGAACUGAGACACGGUCCAGACUCCUACGGGAGGCAGCAGUGGGGAAUAUUGCACAAUGGGCGCAAGCCUGAUGCAGCCAUGCCGCGUGUAUGAAGAAGGCCUGCGGGUUGUAAAGUACUUUCAGCGGGGAGGCGUUACCCGCAGAAGAAGCACCGGCUAACUCCGUGCCAGCCGCCGCGGUAAUAC
rnacentral:rRNA from 1 species